GGGGAGGGGUGGAGCCUCGAUGGGGAGGGGCUUUGGGUGUGCUGGGCCCCAAGCCCCCCGUGCGAACCUCGGGGCCUGAGUCGGGACCGGGCGGAGGCUUUGGCCGCUGGGUGGUGGAACAGCGCUGCCCUCGCUGGUGACACUGAGACUUCCCUCUUCUCUGCAUUUCCUCGAAGCUGCCAGAGUGGGACUGGAUGGCUCGAGUUCACAGAGACCACAUGGUGAAAGGAAUGGCCAACCUGCUACAAAAUUAUCCCCUACACACACACCUCCACCAAAAAAAAAAAAAAAAAAAG
rnacentral:lncRNA from 1 species